AUUUCAGGACAAUGAGAAUACAGUUUCCUCCGAAAAAAUCUUAGGCUGAUCUUGGAAAAAAGACCCCCUGGAUCAUCUAAAAAUAAAGUUUUCUAUUUAAAGGUUGGUUUUAAUGUUCAUUAUAGCCCUAUGUGCUACCAUAAAAUGGUUUGCCUUUUUGUUUUAAGCAUAAGGAAUCAAUGUAAUGCCUUAUACCUGAUAACCUGUGCUCUUGUAUUUGGUCCUCCCUACAACUCUGUCCAUAGAUAUUAUUGUUGCCACUUUAUAGAUGAAAAAAUGGAAGCAAAACCAUUAAGUGCCUUCCCCAAGGUCUUAAAAGUAGUCACCAAGAAGGUGGUGUGGCUCAAGUCUCCUGACUCCAGUUUACUAUUCCCCACAAUAAUGUUGGAAAACCACAUUGGAAUGGGAAGACUCAUUCCAAGUACUGCUGUCACACCAGCAGGCUUCAAAGAAGCCUGAGGUGAGAUGUCUGGCCAUGUUGCUGGUGCCGUCGCCCUCAAGAAGCCAAACAGGCUCUCAGAGUCUCUCAGGCCCUGCCCCCGGACAUGGCCCCACCCCAGAGCAUGCUGGGCAGGACCUCCCCAUAGAUCCCUCCCAUUGCCAAUGUAUUCCUCCAGAGGAUUCUGAGCUCUGCUUGGUGUUUCCAGCUGUGAUGAGGAACUGGAAUCUGGGAAAAAGGAAAACAGUACUAGAAGCAGAACAAGAGUGUGGGAUCACUCCUGGGUGGUACUGUCACCUCAUUUGGACAGUUCACUGCCUAGAUAUGCUGAGUGUGCAAAUUUUGUCUCGUUGCCUCGUCCAGUGUUUCUCUGAAUAG
rnacentral:lncRNA from 1 species